UACGGGGGGAGCAAGCGUUGUUCGGAUUUACUGGGCGUAAAGGGCGCGUAGGCGGUCAGUGCAAGUCAGUUGUGAAAUCUCCGGGCUUAACCCGGAAAGGUCAGCCGAUACUGCGGGGCUAGAGUGCAGAAGGGGCAACUGGAAUUCUCGGUGUAGCGGUGAAAUGCGUAGAUAUCGGGAGGAACACCUGUGGCGAAAGCGGCGCACUGGACCACAACUGACGCUGAGGCGCGAAAGCUAGGGGAGCAAACAGG
rnacentral:rRNA from 1 species